AGUGAACGCUGGCGGUAGGCCUAACACAUGCAAGUCGAACGGCAGCACAGUAAGAGCUUGCUCUUACGGGUGGCGAGUGGCGGACGGGUGAGGAAUACAUCGGAAUCUACUUUUUCGUGGGGGAUAACGUAGGGAAACUUACGCUAAUACCGCAUACGACCUACGGGUGAAAGCAGGGGAUCUUCGGACCUUGCGCGAUUGAAUGAGCCGAUGUCGGAUAGCUAGUUGGCGGGGUAAAGGCCCACCAAGGCGACGAUCCGUAGCUGGUCUGAGAGGAUGAACAGCCACACUGGAACUGAGACACGGUCCAGACUCCUACGGGAGGCAGCAGUGGGGAAUAUUGGACAAUGGGCGCAAGCCUGAUCCAGCCAUACCGCGUGGGUGAAGAAGGCCUUCGGGUUGUAAAGCCCUUUUGUUGGGAAAGAAAAGCAGCAGGUUAAUACCCCGCUGUUCUGACGGUACCCAAAGAAUAAGCACCGGCUAACUUCGUG
rnacentral:rRNA from 1 species